rnacentral:rRNA from 1 species
CUUGCUAUCAGGCGUCGAGCGGCGGACGGGUGAGUAACACUUAGGAAUCUACCUAGUAGUGGGGGAUAGCUCGGGGAAACUCGAAUUAAUACCGCAUACGACCUACGGGAGAAAGGGGGCAGUUUACUGCUCUCGCUAUUAGAUGAGCCUAAGUCGGAUUAGCUAGAUGGUGGGGUAAAGGCCUACCAUGGCGACGAUCUGUAGCUGGUCUGAGAGGAUGAUCAGCCACACCGGGACUGAGACACGGCCCGGACUCCUACGGGAGGCAGCAGUGGGGAAUAUUGGACAAUGGGGGCAACCCUGAUCCAGCCAUGCCGCGUGUGUGAAGAAGGCCUUUUGGUUGUAAAGCACUUUAAGCAGUGAAGAAGACUCCGUGAUUAAUACCCACGGACGAUGACAUUAGCUGCAGAAUAAGCACCGGCUAACUCUGUGCCAGCAGCCGCGGUAAUACAGAGGGUGCAAGCGUUAAUCGGAAUUACUGGGCGUAAAGCGAGCGUAGGUGGCUUGAUAAGUCAGAUGUGAAAUCCCCGGGCUUAACCUGGGAACUGCAUCUGAUACUGUUGAGCUAGAGUAGGUGAGAGGAAGGUAGAAUUCCAGGUGUAGCGGUGAAAUGCGUAGAGAUCUGGAGGAAUACCGAUGGCG